ACGGAGGGUGCGAGCGUUGUCCGGAAUCACUGGGCGUAAAGGGCUCGUAGGUGGCCAACUAAGUCAGACGUGAAAUCCCUCGGCUUAACCGGGGAACUGCGUCUGAUACUGGAUGGCUUGAGUUCGGGAGAGGGAUGCGGAAUUCCAGGUGUAGCGGUGAAAUGCGUAGAUAUCUGGAGGAACACCGGUGGCGAAGGCGGCAUCCUGGACCGACACUGACACUGAGGAGCGAAAGCCAGGGGAGCAAACGGGA
rnacentral:rRNA from 1 species